CAGUCGCCGCGGGAAUACGUAAGUGGCAAGCGUUGUCCGGAAUUAUUGGACGUAAAGCGCGCGCAGGCGGAUCAGUUAGUCUGUCUUAAAAGUUCGGGGCUUAACCCCGUGAGGGGAUGGAAACUGCUGAUCUAGAGUAUCGGAGAGGAAAGUGGAAUUCCUAGUGUAGCGGUGAAAUGCGUAGAUAUUAGGAAGAACACCAGUGGCGAAGGCGACUUUCUGGACGAAAACUGACGCUGAGGCGCGAAAGCCAGGGGAGCGAACGGGAUUAGAUACCCCGGUAGUCCCUGUCUCUUAUACA
rnacentral:rRNA from 1 species